AUAUUAAGUGGGUGAGUUUAUAACUACACCUCUCAUUGUACCUUUAUAUACGUACCUGUGCAAACAGUAUACCUUGUUUUGGUGCUUAGUGUCGCUUUAAAGCCAAUGUGCUCAAUGUACAGAACUGAACUCUACCUGUCUUCUUUAAAGAAACAAUUUUCCAGAGAGGGAAAGUUUCUCUUAUUAAUGUAGGCUAGAGCCAGUUAUCUGUGAU